GAGAGGAGCUGCCCCUAGUACGAGAGGACCGGGGUGGACGUACCUCUGGUGUACCUGUUGUGGCGCCAGCCGCACCGCAGGGUAGCUAAGUACGGACGGGAUAACUGCUGAAAGCAUCUAAGCGGGAAGCCUCCCUCAAAACUAGGUCUCGCCUGAGAGCCGUGGAAGACCACCACGUUGAUAGGCCGGGUGUGGAAGUGCAGCAAUGCAUGAAGCUAACCGGUUACUAAUCGCUCGAUCGGCUUGUUCUU
rnacentral:rRNA from 1 species